UUGCAGCCCUACUGCUCUAGGUCUGGCCCCUCCACAAGCCCUCCAGGCCCACGCCUGAGCCCAGCCCCAGUCCCCUGGGUCCAACGGCCUGUGGCUCUGGGUCCGGACCCAGGGUGUGGUUGAGGGAGGGCGCUGCUGAGCUGGCAGGCACCCCUUGUGUGUUCGCAGCGCAAGAGGAGCUCAGCCCGUCCUGGCUGCAGUCCUGGGUCGAAGCAGCAAGUGUCUUCCCGCCCUGUGCACACACAGGUCCCGGGAGGGCCUCUUGGAGAAGAAACCGCUCAGGCCCGUGUCCUGGCAGGGCCUCUGGGGGCAGCAGAUGGCAGGGAUAGAGCCCGCCCCCUCUGCUGCAGAAGGAAGCGGCCCUCACCCAGCCCCCCUGGGCUGGACGGGUCGUUAAAAACAAGAAAAGCCUUCCAUAGCAGAAAGGAGUACUCAAGGCCCAGAAAGGCAGCUUUGCUCUGGGCCACCUUCGGAAGCCUGGUGGGGCCGAGUGUUGCCUGGUGACGUGGAGCAGGAGGCGGGGCGGAGGCUGUGGGACACGGGGCUGCAGGGCCGGGAGGGGGUCAGGAGAAUAAAUAGCAGCUAGGUGUGGGGUGAGCUGGGAGCACAGGCAGGAGGGGGCAGCCAGAGAGGUUGGGGCUCUCCCUUUUAAAGAACAAAGGGAUACAUACCCUUUCCCCUCCACCCUCCCUCCAACCCCGCAGUCUCUCCCUCACAUACACACACGGAAGACGUGACUCACACACGCAUGCACACACAGGGCACAGGUACACGCAGGCACACGUGCACGCAGGCACACGCACGCAGGCACGGGGACAAGUGCUGACCGCGCUCCUCCAGCAGGCAGCAUAUGGUCCGCUGCUUAACAGCCGAGCUCUGCCAAUUGGGGACCAUUAGGGUGGGUUCUUUUCCCAGCAUCAAAUGCUGCAGAAUAUAAAUUGCAACUAACACUGGUGCCAAAAUAGCACUUAGAGAAAAUAAGCACGUUAUUAACAUCUGGUGAAGCCCAUCUCGGGGGUAGCAGCAGCGGAAAUUCUUGCUCUAAGUCAAAGGAUGGUUGCAGGGGACACUAAAAAUACAAGGUCCACUGUUUCAGGGGUGCUUUCCAAGGCACUGUACCCCAGCCUCAGGAACGGCCCUUCCCCCAGUCCUGUCUAUGAGUAUAAAUUAUGCUGCUGGUUAAAACCGCUUGCUCAUGAGAACAGGACACCCAGGCGCGAUCGUACACACGCUAGGAUGCAUUCCUGGAGCAGACGCAAUUCUCUAGCCCGAGUGGGGAAUGUUCUGGAGGAAGGAGUGGGGCGGAGCUGCGGUGCCCAGAGACACAGGCCCCCUGAGGGUCCGGGAACCUCCCAGGCCACUCGCCCCUGCCUGCCACACCUCGGUUGGAGAGCAAGAAGUGGUCAGUCCCGGGAGGCACCACACCACCCGAUCUGAUCGCCGCGCCUGGUGGUCUCCAGGUGCCAUUUUAAAGCUCUAAAGAAAUGCCCAGGAACUGUGGGUGGGGGGGGUGCUCCCACCACCUCUGAGACCCUCAUCUACAGCCCCUGCCCCCUGGGGCCGUGGGCAGCUGGUCCUGCGGCCUGCAGACUAGGAGACGGGGCCUAGGGGUGUGGCUCUCACAGGCCAUGACAGGAGGGCCAGGAGGCCUCUGGGAGGCGAAGGCUUGGUCUGGUGUGGGUCCCACCAUCGGGCACUGCUGGAAUCAGCCUGCAGAAGGGUCCCUCCGGCCAGGAGGCAAAGGUUCUGCACUGGGUGCAGCCUGGCGCUGGGAGAGGACCCGUGGGCUUCAGAGAGGAGGCGUUGACCCCAUACAUACAAGAAAGUCAGGGUGAAGUGGGAGGAGACCUCGAACCCCAGAUCCACCUGUGCCAGUGAGCAGAGGCGCCAGGGUGGGGUCAAGACUGCCAGGUGGAGAGCUGGGAGGCAGCCUGCACAGGAGGGCUGUACCUCCCCACAGCUCUGACCCCAGUUCUCCAAAGGCCUCCUGGACAAGGAGCUUGGCCCCCAGAGCAAGGAGCUGCUGAAAACCAUCCCCACUCAGGCAGGGCCAGUGAUUGGAGGCCUGGGGAUGGUGUACCCCAUUUUUUAACAGCAAAGCAAAUGUGAGACACCACCCCACAGGACGGGGCACCUGUCACACGGAAAACCAGGAGGAGGAAGGCGGGCUGGACAAGGGGCCCUUCACCAAGAGCGGCCAGGGCGGCGGUCCAGGCGAGCAGGACCCAACUACAGCCCCCUUUGGAAGCCACCGGCCCAGGGACAGCUCUAGGAGCGCCUGGAGGUGGAGGACGGCAGAAGCGGCCAGCGUGGCACAUGGAGUGAGGACUCAGAUGCCAGGAGGGUGUCCUCAUUUUUGGAAUAGCUUUGUUUUUUUCUCUUUCUUUUUAAGAGAUGGGGUAUCCCUGUGUUGCCCAGGCUGAUCUCAAACUCCUGGGCUCAAGUGAUCCUCCCAAAGUGUGUUGAAU
rnacentral:lncRNA from 1 species